rnacentral:rRNA from 1 species
AUUGAACGCUGGCGGCAGGCCUAACACAUGCAAGUCGAGCGGAUGAAGGGAGCUUGCUCCUGGAUUCAGCGGCGGACGGGUGAGUAAUGCCUAGGAAUCUGCCUGGUAGUGGGGGAUAACGUCCGGAAACGGGCGCUAAUACCGCAUACGUCCUGAGGGAGAAAGUGGGGGAUCUUCGGACCUCACGCUAUCAGAUGAGCCUAGGUCGGAUUAGCUAAUUGGUGGGGUAAAGGCCUACCAAGGCGACGAUCCGUAACUGGUCUGAGAGGAUGAUCAGUCACACUGGAACUGAGACACGGUCCAGACUCCUACGGGAGGCAGCAGUGGGGAAUAUUGGACAAUGGGCGAAAGCCUGAUCCAGCCAUGCCGCGUGUGUGAAGAAGGUCUUCGGAUUGUAAAGCACUUUAAGUUGGGAGGAAGGGCAGUAAGUUAAUACCUUGCUGCUUUGACGUUACCAACAGAAUAAGCACCGGCUAACUUCGUG